CAGUCGCCGCGGGAAUACGAAGGGUGCAAGCGUUACUCGGAAUUACUGGACGUAAAGCGUGCGUAGGUGGUGGUUUAAGUCCGUUGUGAAAGCCCUGGGCUCAACCUGGGAAUUGCAGUGGAUACUGGGUCACUAGAGUGUGGUAGAGGAUAGUGGAAUUUCCGGUGUAGCAGUGAAAUGCGUAGAGAUCGGAAGGAACAUCUGUGGCGAAGGCGACUAUCUGGGCCAACACUGACACUGAGGCACGAAAGCGUGGGGAGCAAACAGGAUUAGAUACCCCCGUAGUCCCUGUCUCUUAUAA
rnacentral:rRNA from 1 species